GACGGGGAGCACCACAACGGGUGGAGCUUGUCGGUUUAAUUGGAUUCAACGCCGGAAAUCUUACCGGGACCGACAGCAAUAUGAAGGCCAGGCUGAAGACUUUGCCGGAUUAGCUGAGAGGUGGUGCAUGGCCGUCGUCAGUUCGUACUGUGAAGCAUCCUGUUAAGUCAGGCAACGAGCGAGACCCACGCCCACAGUUGCCAGCGUACUCUCCGGAGUGACGGGUACACUGUGGGACCGCCGCUGCUAAAGCGGAGGAAGGAAUGGGCAACGGUAGGUCAGUAUGCCCCGAAUAUCCCGGGCUACACGCGAGCUACAAUGGUUGGUACAAUGGGUAUCUACCCCGAAAGGGGACGGGAAUCUCCUAAAACCAAUCUUAGUUCGGAUUGAGGGCUGCAACUCGCCCUCAUGAAGCUGGAAUCCGUAGUAAUCGCGUUUCAACAGAACGCGGUGAAUACGUCCCUGCUCCUU
rnacentral:rRNA from 1 species